rnacentral:rRNA from 1 species
UACGUAGGGGGCAAGCGUUGUCCGGAAUCAUUGGGCGUAAAGAGCGUGUAGGCGGCUCGAUAAGUCUGCUGUGAAAGUCCAGGGCUCAACCCUGGAAGGCCGGUGGAAACUGUCGGGCUAGAGUCCGGAAGAGGCGAGUGGAAUUCCCGGUGUAGCGGUGAAAUGCGCAGAUAUCAGGAAGAACACCCGUGGCGAAAGCGGCUCUCUGGGACGGUACUGACGCUGAGACGCGAAAGCGUGGGGAGCGAACAGG